rnacentral:tRNA from 1 species
GGGGGUCGUUAAGGUGACACGUUAGUUUUGCAAACUGACCUAGCAGGGUUCGAUUCCCUGGAUCUCCA